AUUGAACGCUGGCGGAAGGCCUAACACAUGCAAGUCGAGCGAGCGGCGGACGGGUGAGUAAUGUCUGGGAAACUGCCUGAUGGAGGGGGAUAACUACUGGAAACGGUAGCUAAUCCCGCAUACCAUCAGAUGUGCCCAGAUGGGGUUAGCUAGUAGGAGGGGUAACGGCUCACCUAGGCGACGAUCACUAGCUGGCCUGGGAGGAUGACCAGCCACAUUGAAACUGAGGCACGGUCCAGGUUCCCACAGGAGGCAGCAGUGGGGGAUAUUUCGCUAUGGGCGCAAGCCGGAUGAAGGCAUUCCGAGUGUGUGUAGAAGGCCUUCGGAGUGUAAAGCACUUUCAGCGGGGAGGCGUUACCCGCAGAAGAAGCACCGGCGAACUCCGUGCCAGCCGCCGCGGUAAUAC
rnacentral:rRNA from 1 species